AGAACCACAUUGGGUCGGAAGCUGGAGUCGGUGGAGGGGGCGGCCCCGGCCUCAGGCCGCACGGCAGCGGGGAGCUUGCAGAGCCUACACUGCGCUGCCGCCGCCUGCUCCAGGCAGCGCCGGCAGAAGGAUCUGGGCAUUGCAGGCAAGGCCAGGAUUUAUUUCCCACCCAUGGCUGCUCUUGAGAAGAUAUUGAAAUAAGCCUUUCAAAUGGAUCCCUUACAAUGAAGAAUUUGAAGUAUGUAUUCAAUCUGAAAGAAACAACACCAAAAAGAGUUAUAAUUCUUCCAGUGUUCC